rnacentral:rRNA from 1 species
GAUGAACGCUGGCGGCGUGCCUAAUACAUGCAAGUCGAGCGAACGGACGAGAAGCUUGCUUCUCUGAUGUUAGCGGCGGGCGGGUGGGUAACGCGUGGAUCACCUACCUCUAAGACGGGGAUAACUUCGGGAAACCGGAGCUAAUACUGGAUAAUAUUUUGAACGGCAUGGUUCAAAAGUGAAAGACAGUCUUGCUGUCACUAUUAGAUGGAUCCGCGCUGCAUUAGCUAGUUGGUAAGGUAACGGCUUACCAAGGCAACGAUGCAUAGCCGACCUGAGAGGGUGAUCAGCCACACUGGAACUGAGACACGGUCCAGACUCCUACGGGAGGCAGCAGUGGGGAAUCUUCCGCAAUGGGCGAAAGCCUGACGGAGCAACGCCGCGUGAGUGAUGAAGGUCUUCGGAUCGUAAAACUCUGUUAUUAGGGAAGAACAGAUGUGUAAGUAACUGUGCACAUCUUGACGGUACCUAAUCAGAAAGCCACGGCUAACUACGUG